CAGCAGCCGCGGUAAUACCGGCGGCCCGAGUGGCGGUCACUAUUAUUGGGCUUAAAGCGUCCGUAGCCGGGUUGGGAAGUCCUCCGGGAAAUCUGGCCGCUUAACGGUCAGAAUGCCGGAGGAUACUCCCAGCCUAGGGAGCGGGGGAGGCCGAGGGUAUUCCCGGAGUAGGGGUGAAAUCCUAUAAUCCCGGGAGGACCACCUGUGGCGAAGGCGCUCGGCUGGAACGCGUCCGACGGUGAGGGACGAAGGCCAGGGGAGCAAACCGGAUUAGAUACCCGGGUAGUCCUGGCUGUAAACGAUGCGGACUUUGUGUCGGACAAGCUAUGAGCUUGUCCGGUGCCGGAGGGAAACCGUUAAGUCCGCCGCCUGGGGAGUACGGCCGCAAGGCUGAAACUUAAAGGAAAUGGCGGG
rnacentral:rRNA from 1 species